UGCCUCAGAGGCUGGCCCAAACAUCACCUUGAUGGUGAUGGUGUUAUUGCAUCAGUCAGGGACAAAGCAGAUGGCAGUCCUUUGUUUAUCCUAGUUCAGUGCCUAGCUUGGUAACCAAAGCUAUUUUAUGCCUAGGACCCAUGA